UACGUAUUCCACAAACCAAUCCUCGACGCCGGGUUACAACAAUAUCAAAGAAUCGGUUUAAACGCGAAGUGGAGAAAAGUCUUACCGAUUCUGACGUGGAUGCGCUUCGAUUCGUGCUCCCGCGGCUCCGAUUUCCUGCUCUUCCAAGAUUUCACCGAAUCGUGAUGAGGAAUCGACUGAGAUGUACUGAGUGCUCGCGUUGGUGUGGGUUUCGAGAAAACCAGGUGAAGUGAUGUUGAUGUUGAUUGAUUGAAAAAGGGGCGCUGUUAUUCAACGGGUUUUGGAAAAGUUCUGAAGAGGUGCUUUUGAAUUGGGAACUUCCAAAAGAGCUUUUGGAUUGUGUUUACCACUUAUUCCAAUUUUUUUAAUAAAAUUAUUUCUGAUGUAACAGAGACUUUUUGGAUUAUGAACUUAGGGACUGCUUGUAACAUGUACAAACUUAAUUUGAAAUUUCUCUUUUUGGACAGUUAUGUAAUUGUUUUGGAUUAUUAGGAAUUUGGGAUUAGUUAGGAUAUAUUAAACUGUAAGAAAAAUUGGGUUAGACAUGUAACCCUUUGGAUCAUUUGCAAAAUUUACAUAAUUUUAAUUUAAGUUUUUUUUGUUAUUUAUGUGGAUACUUUUGGGUUAUUAUGUAACAUUUCGAUUAAAUUGGAAUAUGAUUUGAAUAUCACUUGGAACA